rnacentral:rRNA from 1 species
GGUAGUGACGAAAAAUAACAAUGCGGUACUCUUCGGAGUAUACGGAAUUGGAAUGAGCUCACUUUAAAUCCUAUAGCAACAACCGAUUGGAGGGCAAGUCUGGUGCCAGCAGCCGCGGUAAUUCCAGCUCCGAUAGCGUAUAUUAAAGUUGUUGCGGUUAAAAAGCUCGUAGUCAGAUCUUCGCUCCGGAGUGGUCGGGUAGGUGGCCGCCCGGCCGUCGACCCGUAAACUCCGGACUGCUUCCUCGCCCAGAGGAAGCGCCAGCCGGUUUCGGGCGGGGUGCUCUUCACCGAGUGUCCCGCGCGACCGGCCGUUUUACCUUGAAUAAAUCAGAGUGCUCAAAGCAGGCUACUCUUAAAAAUAAAGCCCGAAUGAUACCUGCAUGGAAUAAUGGAAGAUGAUCUCGGUUCCAUUUUGGUUGCGUUAUGGAACCCGAGUUAAUGAUGAAGCGGGCCUGCCGGGGGCAUCCGUACUACGGCGCGAGAGGUGAAAUUCUGUGACCGUCGUAGGACGAACAACAGCGAAAGCAUUUGCCAAGAAUGUUUUCCUUGAUCAAGAACGAAAGUUAGAGGAUCGAAGGCGAUCAGAUACCGCCCUAGUUUUAACCGUAAACGAUGCUAACUAGUAAUCCGCCGUCGUUAUACCCAUGACGUGGCGGGACACCCCCGGGAAACCUCAAGUCUUUGAGUUCCGGGGGUAGUAUGGUUGCAAAAUUGAA